rnacentral:rRNA from 1 species
CACGUAGGGGGCAAGCGUUGUCCGGAUUUAUUGGGCGUAAAGAGCUCGUAGGCGGCUCAGUAAGUCGGGUGUGAAAACUGGAGGCUCAACCUUCAGACGUCGACCGAAACCAUCUGGCUAGAGUCCGGGAGAGGAGAGUGGAAUUCCUGGUGUAGCGGUGAAAUGCGCAGAUAUCAGGAGGAACACCCGUGGCGAAAGCGGCUCUCUGGGACGGUACUGACGCUGAGACGCGAAAGCGUGGGGAGCGAACAGG